rnacentral:lncRNA from 1 species
UCAAAAAAAAAAUUUUUUUUUUGGCAGAGCAUGGUAAUACACACCUGUAAUUCCAGCACUUUGGGAGGCCAAGGCAGGCAGUUCACCUGAGGUCAGGAGUUCAAGACCAGCCUGGCCAACAUGUUGAAACCCCAUCUGUACUAAAAAUACAAAAAUUAGCCAUGCAUGGUGUUGUGUGCCUGUAGUCACAGCUACUCAGGAAGCUGAGGCAGGAGAGUCACUUGAACCUGGGAGGUGGAGGUUGCGGUGAGUGAGCUGAGAUUAUGCCACUGCAUUCCAGCCUGGGUAACAGAGUGAGACUCCGUCUUAAAAAACAAAUUUUUUAAAGGUGUGGCUUUUACUCAGCAUUAUUAUUUUGAGAUUCAGCCAUGUUGUGUGUGUCAGUAGUUCAUUUAUUUUCAUCACGAGUAGUAGUCCAUAGUAUAGAUGUGCCAGCAUUGGUUCAACCAUUCACCCAUUGAAGGACAUUUGGGUGUUUCCAGUUUGGGGCCAUAACAAAUAACGCUGGUAUGAACAUUUGCAUAUAAGUAUUUUAUUUUUCUUUGAGACAGGGACUCACUCGAUUCCCCAGGGUGGAGUGCAGCGGUACGAUCAUGGUUCACUGCACCCUCGAUCUUUUGGGCUCAGGUGAUCCUCCCCGCUCAGCCUCUGAAGUAUCUGGGACUACAGUACAGAUAAGGCAACCACGGGGCAAGAAACUUACUGCAUAUUGAAGAGAAAAUCCCAGCUUCCUAUCCAGGCUUCAGGCAGGGCCCAUGCUAUGGCCUGGGGCCCCCUUUGACCUCAUCUGCUCCACUUGCCUCUUGCUUGCUGCUGGUCUUUUCUUCCCUGAACCCACCGUCCUGUUCCUGCCUCUCGCGCUUGGAAGUGUCUGGUCCUGCUGCUCUUCUCCCUGUUAAGCAUGUGACAAGGAAUCGUAUGCUUCAGGUCACAGGUUGAAAGCCCCCUUCUCGGGAAGAUCUGCCUUGUCUUGUCCACCCAAUAUAAGUGUCCACUUGGUCACUAGCCACUGUCACUGGUCGUGAUUAUCUUACCAUCUGCCAUUUUCUCAUUUAUUUGUUUGUUUUCAGUUAAUAGAACAUUGCUUCAGGAGAGCAAGGAAUUUGUCUGCAGUUGCUCCUUAUUUCCUCAUGCCUAGCACAGUGUCCAGUGCUUAUGGGGGCCCCA